AUGCACUCUGCGUCACGCACAAGCCGCCCAAAACCGCCGAUCAAAACCCACCAUUUAUGUCCGAGCCGAAUAUGUGAUGUCCUUUCACGGACCACCACUCUCACCUCUGCAACCACCGACGAACAGCUACAACCAUUAACACUAGAAACUGCUUCGCGUCAUCGUCCUCCAUUAUUCCGCCGCACCUGCUUCCAGCGUCAGCCCACCAUCGCUCAUCUUCCUCCUUGCAACUGUUCCCCUUCUGCCGUGAGUCUUUGUUCAAGUUUUUUGUUCCUGGAUUCUUAUUAUGAUAUAUUGUUUUGA